UUUUGCUGUGUGGAUCUCAGACGAGAAGAACCCACACUGACUGCUGAAUCCUGAUCUAACAAGACAAGCUGCUGGUUCCUUCACACUCUAGUCACUGAAUAUUUUGCACCAUGUUUUCACCGCUUUGGACUGUACCAUGAUGAGUGGAAACCUGAAGCAGAUAGAUGCUGGAUCAGGCCAAGUGGUUGGAGUAAACAAAAACAAAACAAGGAAGUGUUUGUCCUACUUAAUGUUUUCAAAGAUCAGCGGGUCUCUAAAGCACAUCAGUGCUGGUCCUGCUGGUUGGCUGGGGGUGAAUUCGGCAAGCAACAUCUUCAAGUUUCAGAGUGGUUCCUUCAUUCAGUUUCCAGGUGGAGUUACAGAGUGAAAUAUGACAACCUGGUUUAACCCUCUGGAGUCUGAGGGUGUUUUGGGGGACUGGAGAAGUUUUGACAUGCCCUGACAUUUGUGCCAGAGUUUUUUUUUUUUUUUUUUUUCCUUCAGUUGCUUCUAAAAAUAUAAGUGGCAAAAGUCUAAACACUUUAAAUGGCACAAACUGGGCUACAAUGUUAGCAGCAUUUAUGUACAUGAUUGUGUUUUUGAGAGAGCACGAUACUUAUCUUCAACUUUUUGAUUUCCUUCAUUUUAAAUAAAAAAAGUGCUUUUAUGAUGUAAUUUAAAAUUUGACUCAUUUCAAGGCUUUUAAUGUCUCAGGAUGCAGUAAUUUUCCACUGCUUUUACUUUAGAAUAAUGAUUAAUUUGCUGCUCCGAUUAAGUUUGUCAUUAUUUUUUUACAUUCAUCACUUCAUCUCCUGUUUCCUGCUCUUCACCUGAUUAGUUUUGCCUCUUGGGUUAAUAGAAUAGCCCGUUUUAGUAUGUCAGACACAAUGCAGUAUUAACUGGUUUUAGAUCUCAGUGGAUAUCUUUUGACGGGAUCUGUUAAAGAGACUGGAGACAACAUUCCUCAAAUGUCAGUGGGAUUUA